AUUAUCUCAUGGUUUGCAAUCUACCUAUGUUUGGAGGGGGGAGGGAGGGAGUUCGGAUCCCCUCCUUGAGAAUCCUACUUCACUUCCUACGUGCAACGACUGACAACGGUUAUCAAAAAAAAAAUAUGAAAUUAAAAUUUCAGAAAAUUCCUUCCCUCUGCUAUACAUACAGAGGUUAUACAUUCACUCUCACUCUCACUUUCACUCAGCCUCAUAGUUACCCUUUCUCGUCUACCGAACCCACCUUCAUCGGCGACCCAGACGGCGAACCCACUCCUAACCCCAACUCGCCACUCCAGCCCUAAUAUUCUCUGCUUCGUGAACCAUAGCCCCACCGCAACCACCAUCGGCUAAGCGAAGAAAUUUCUUGACGAGAACGUGAGUUCUCAGGCCAUAGAUAAACCAGAGUAACACUGCCCAUUGCAAUUUCUUCAAGUUUGUGAAUGAAGAUGAUGAAGAUGUUACGUCCACAAUCCGUUCCAACACUAGAGCUUGUGAUGGUAUUUUAGUAGAAGACUUUAACGAGCUAAGGGCGAGGCUUGAUGACGUGGAAAAUGAAAAUGAUGACUAUGGUCGAAGGCUUGAAAGGAUGGAAAAUAAUUUGAAGGUGAUGGUGUAUUUCAUUGUAUUUUCUAUAAUUUUGUACUUUAUGAUGUAACUUAUUGUUUGGUUGGUUUCCGGAAAAUUUGUCUAAUGUUAUUAUGGAUUUUAUGAAACUUAAUGGAUGUAUUGUCAACGUUUGUAACAUUUUGGCUUUGAUGAAUAUGUGCAAUGAUUUUAGAUGGUUUUCAUGAA